AGGGGGAGUAACAGUCAGAAAUGGCUGCUAAUACCGCAUAAGCGCACAGAGCUGCAUGGCUCAGUGGUCAAAGGAGCAAUCCGCUGAAAGAUGGACUCGCGUCCGAUUAGUUAGUUGGUGAGGUAACGGCUCACCAAGACCGCGAUCGGUAGCCGGACUGAGAGGUUGAACGGCCACAUUGGGACUGAGACACGGCCCAGACUCCUACGGGAGGCAGCAUG
rnacentral:rRNA from 1 species